GCUCAGUUUAUGGUUUUCAUGUUAAUUUGUUUUAAUGUUAGAGUACCAACGAUAUUUUGUGUUAACAACGAAAACGGUUCAAUUCAAAUUCGAUCCGCUUCUUGCACGCAUUAGCGCUGCCCUAAAAUGUUCAGGCAUGUGCUUCAGUUGAAAUUUCCCGCUCCUUUUUUUUCUCACCCGAAAGAGCUGAUAUAAGCAACACGUGCGUUCCUCCGAAAAAAAAAAAAGUGGUGAGAUCUCUCUCCCAGAAAGAAUGACAAGGCCUGAAAGGAGGAACGAAGAGGGAGGCGGGGCGUGCAGCGGGGCUACCAUAGCGGGGCGCCGGACCCCGCACCUCUCGCGUUUUCUUUUUUUUCUUUGCCACAGCGCUGGGGAGGGGAGCAAGCUCCAUGCGUCAGUUCCCGCCAAAUUGUAGCUCUUUCGAGCGAGGACGUGCUGACUGAAACACUGCACAGAGACGGGCAAGCACUCAGAGGCAUUUCGUUUGCCUUGAUCCUGGAGGCGGCCUUCUCCCAUUGCCGAGGAUUUGAAGCGAACUCCUGGCAGAUCAGAAAUGUUCAGGCGAACGGCGGUUAUAUUUGUCUGUGGACCCAAGACUUCGUUGACGGGCAAAUAUGGAACCCUGCAACAAGGACUGUAGUGUGAAUAGCGUGCUGCGCUGCUCUCGCCAACUGAAAA